rnacentral:rRNA from 1 species
GACGAACGCUGGCGGCGUGCUUAACACAUGCAGGUCGAGCGGUAAGGCCCUUUCGGGGGUACACGAGCGGCGAACGGGUGAGUAACACGUGGGUGACCUGCCCUCAGCUCUGGGAUAAGCCUGGGAAACCGGGUCUAAUACUGGAUAUGACUCCAUGACGCAUGUUGUGGGGUGGAAAGCCUUGUGCGGCUGAGGAUGGGCCCGCGGCCUAUCAGCUUGUUGGUGGGGUGANGGCCUACCAAGGCGACGACGGGUAGCCGGCCUGAGAGGGCGACCGGCCACACUGGGACUGAGACACGGCCCAGACUCCUACGGGAGGCAGCAGUGGGGAAUCUUGCGCAAUGGGCGAAAGCCCUGACGCCAGCGACGCCGCGUGAGGGAUGACGGCCU